ACUCGGUCCACAAAACCCCUCGCAACCACCUCCUCAUCGAAAAUCAUUUGCCUCCUCUCAGCCAUCUCCGUUCAUAUGCUAGAAUCUCCGGUUCAGUUGAGUUACAAACAAUCUAAAAAUCCACAUCAUUACUAUAUUUGAACAACCUUCCACAUUUAUAACCUCUUUUCUCAAAUCGAUAUCACAUUCACCAACAACAAUUACAGUCAAUUGAACCCCACCAUGAGCGACAACGCGUCCACUACUGUCAGCGCCUCCUCGACCACCACUGAAGAAUCUCCGAUCACCAAAACUUUGGUUGUCGGAAGAUAGGCUGACGAGCCCGACGACAUCUUACAAAAGCCCGAAUCAUCAUCCACUUCCUAUGCUACCUCCAGAAUUGUUGUAUUUUUUGCUGCCCCUAUUUUGCGUUGUUCAUGUGGUUCUUGUUGCUAUUGUUUGAUUGGCAUAAAUCUAAUUACCCGAGUUCAUUGAAGGUACUACUUUCACAUUUACUUUGUGGAACAUUGAUAUGCAUACAAUCUAUUUGUGUAAAUGCCUAACUGAGAGUACAGUGGCCAUGGCAAGAAAUUUUUAUCUGAUGUUAGGAAAUUUCGGAUCAACUAUGACACUUUUCAAAACUGAUGUUGGUGGUAAUAGAACUGUAAGUGUUAACCAUUCCUUUUUGUGUAAUUUUGAUUUGUAUAUUAAUAUAUUAUAUUCCACUUAUAUGCAUAUUUGACUAUUUGUCUCUUCUUACAAAGGUUAUAGAACAAGUAUUUAACUAACCCAUCUAAAUUUCAGAAACACUUACAGAUGGUUUAUCCAGUUGCACCAAUGGUCUUUUGUGGCUAACUAGGUUGGUUUACGAUUCUACCCUCACAGUAAUAUAUUAUCCCAAAUAAUUAAAACCUCCAAGACACCCUUCAUAGCGAUGGACUUCAUAGUAGAAUUGUUAUGUAACAUAGUGGAGCACAAGGAUUGGAGCAUGUAACAAGUUUGUUCUGAAGCCUACACUAAGACACUCUAGAAAUAGUAUGGAUGGUUAACUAGUUAAACUUUCAUGGUAUCCAUUUACAUUAUUACAUUAUUAUAAUUUACAAAAAUUAAAUUUAUAGUUUAUAUGAAAAUACAUCUGCUAUCAUAGUUGGCCAGAAGAAAUAAUUUGAAGAUUUAUACAAGCCCAUGUAUGUUAGAGUUUGGGUUGACUAUCAGGUUUUCUAUUACACCAAGAAUUGAAAAUUUUAUAUUUUAUAUAGCAUAGUCUAUAUACAAAUACAUCGGCUAUUAGAUUUUUAUUUCUCUUUGCUUCUUUCUUUUUUAUUGCACAUAUAUAGAGGAAACUAUAAUCCAGGUUACAAAAUGAUCAAAUGGGUUAUAAUGUUACAUUAAAAUGUAUAUUUAAGUGUAGGAGUAGUAGCAGAUAGUAUUUUUGUUUGUGUUAUGGCAUUUUCUAAGAACAAUAACUUAUUUCUAGUUUAGGUUGUUAUAAUUUUCAAGGAUGAUAAUUGAUCAAGCAAAUGAAACUGGCCACAAACAUUGCAAUGGUCAGUUCUUUGAUUAUUGGCAAUGUGUAGACAAAUGUGUUGCACCUAGGCUGUUUGCAAAACUUAAGUAAUGGAGAUACAUAUUGAGGUCACAUUUACAUUCCAAAAAAAAUGAUGAACCAGAAGAAUAUAGAGAGCUUGUUAUUAAACAAAAAGAGUAAAAGGAAGAGCUUAAGGGAAAAAAAGAGUAAAAAGAUAGACCAACACAACACAAGAAUUGAGCUGCUUAAUAAACAACUGCAAUCGGAUAUGGAUGUUAUUAAUGCUUUUAAACAACUAUAGAACUUGUAGGUCAUAGAGUGUUGAUAUGUUUAUUGCAAAAUAUUUAUUUUAAAUUAGCCACUUUUUAUUUUCCAUGUAAUAAAUAUUUAUUGUUUUAUUUUAUGAUAUAAAUGUUAUUGGAAUUUUUGUUAUUUUUGUUUUUA